rnacentral:misc_RNA from 1 species
UAGUGAUUGACUUUCCAUAACAGCACACAUACACAUACAGACAAUGCACUACAGAAACAGAGAUUGGACAAAAUCUUAAAAGGCUUGAAUUUGGCUGAGCUAAGUAGAAAUGAAAAUGUUCUAAAAUUAACAAAUAAAAUUAUAAAAAUAAUAUUGUUUUUCAUAUUUAAUUACUAAUUUAUAUAAACGGAUAGCUAAUGCAUAAAACCUGAAUCAAUCCUAAAUCUGAACAUGCAUCACUUGAAUCUAACUAAUAUUAUCAGCCAGGCAUUACCAAAUGUCAAACUGCAAGAAAGGGCAAGCUCAGAUCAGACAAUAAGUGAGAAUGGAAACCUACUUUCUACUGUUUGAUUGAAAGUACUACUUGGCGAUUUGGUGAAGAGGGACCAUGGUAAGGUCGAAUCCUUCUCCGUAUCGGAUCCUUCAUCGGCUCCUGCAGGCAUCGGGGGCCCUUCCAUGCCGGAACCA